UUUCGGAUAAGUAGGUGGUUGGUAAGAAAAGCUCUGAAAAACGAGCUGAAAUUUUUUUUUAUUUUUACAAUUUUUGUGUACAUUUUUUUGUAUGUCAUAUCGCACUUUUUGGUUCGGUCUCUGGAACGGUUCGCUGUCCCUGUCAUCGACGUUACAGUCACAGUCGCAGUUGCAGCUGCACUGGCUGCCUUGUCCGAAUGCAAUUAAAAUGUCAGCGAUGCAGAAAAGGGGGCUGCCCGGUGGCGGGAAAAAUGGCUGGCUAACAUGCGAGGAAAAAUGGCUCGUAAUGGAGUGCGAUAUACUCGUCCGCCCGCGGGACACGGACCAAACACGCAUUUGCCAUGCCAAAGGGACUGGACAGGACACUCGACUUGCAACGUUUUUUUCGAACUGGAGUAGAGUAGGAGCACCAGGAUCAGGACUGGAUUCGGGAAUACCGAAAGGAAGGGAAAGGGUCGACCAGCGGCCACGCCCAUACACGCCAUUAAGCGCACUUGUGAUGUACGUAAAUUAAUUUACUGUCGACCAUUUAUGUUCGCCGGCGAGCCAAUGAAGGCGCCACAACAUCAACGUCAACAUGGCCAACACAAAGAUGAAGAGCCAGGCGCGUUGUUAGCCAGCCUUAUUGACAGACAGAAAUGUGUACUCGUCGAAAAGAAAUGGGAGAAAGUUACACAAACCGCAAAAGUUUGCUAAUAAAUAAAAUUUAGCACCCAGUUGGUCAUAAAAACAUGCCCCAAAAGCGAGACAACCUACAUAAUUAUUGAUUCGACAGGCGGGAUAUAUGUAAGCAGAAUUUAUGAUUCAGCUUGAUAUAUGUUCCGGGAUUUUGAUUCCUCACUGCUAAGCUUAAAGUUGGCUAAAUGGAAAAUCACAGGGCAAUAAAUGCGGAAAGAGAGGAG
ensembl:ncRNA lncRNA:CR44401 long non-coding RNA:CR44401